ACUCUUAGCGCGCCUGGCACAGGCCCACGGCACGUUGCUCUCUCCCUUCCCUGUUCCUGCUCCCCUCUCCUCCGGCCCCUCCUCAGUCUCUUACGGAGGAGGCCUCGAGGCAAGUCUUGCCAAAAACCUCAUUUACCAGGGCGGUCCCUGGUUCCUGUUUGCCUAAAACCAAAGCCGCAGGCUCUUCAAAAGAACCUAGCAAACCCAGAUAGAAAGCCGGAGACGGUGAAAAAAAUAUCAGAAGUGGUGGAACACGUGUUUGUGUCUCCGUUCCGUUCUGAGAGCGUUUAGCAGAGAACUGUAGACUGACCCAGCCAGAAGAAACUUCUAAUGUUUUUUAGUCCAGCUGGAUUUUAAUCACUUACAAUAAUGACAUAAUACGGCUCCAGCCAGGCAUCGGGCCGGCACCGUCCACCAGGAGGAGCGCCCCUCGGCUCUGACUCGCUGGGCUUCUAGACGUAGAAUUGAAAUGGCUUUUCAUCAGCUCUCCAUUAUUGACUUCUGUUCAGCCUGUGGUCUGACCUGACGCUCUUUCCCUGCGGGAGUGUCCUUUCUGUCCCACACACAGAGAGAGUAACGCCUCCCAGACCUGGCUCCUCACAGCCGUCCCUGCAGAGGCCUCCCGGAGCUGACACCAGACCCUCUCCAAAUCCGCCCACGUCUGCCCUGCUCUUCGAUACACUGCUUUGGCCUGACUCAUCCUGCAUGUUUCCUGUCAACAACAACAAACCCUCCUGUUUAGCCUUCCUUGGCUCACCAUUUUUGGAAAUUGAACUGGAAGGGUAAAGCUAUUACACAAAGGGCUUUGCAGGGCAAGAGGGAAGAAGGAGAAGGAGCCAGAAUAAACAGAAGGUGAACCAAGCCCCCAGGGCCCAGGUGAAUGCUCAGGCGGGUCAGUGGAUGUCCCACUCUGGCUAGACAGAAAUCCUUAGCGCACUGGCUCACACCAUCCUCGCUGGCCCCACUCAUCCACAACCCAGCCAUUGGCAGGGUCCUUCUUGGCCCAGGCAAGGAUCCACCCU
rnacentral:lncRNA from 1 species